rnacentral:tRNA from 1 species
GGUGGGUUGGCUCAGUGGUUAGAGCGUAGGUCUCGUAACCGAAAGGCCGCGCGAUCGAAUCCCGCAGAGGCUG